rnacentral:tRNA from 1 species
GGGAGUGCAUUCUAUCACCCGUGUAUUUGCGUUCAAGUACCUGCACAGGACUGAAAAUCCUGGUGUCGGGGGUUCGAUUCCCCCUCUGCCCA